CUACAAAUAUCCGUGUUGUUUCCAUAUCUGCUCCAGCCUCCAUUUAGACUGAUCUCUCUUGCUCCUCCUCCUUCCUUCCUUCCUUCCCUUAUUCCUUCCUUCGUUCCUUCCCUCCCACUUAAAACAGUUCCUUCAUCAUUAUUUUCCUUUCCUAUCUAGUUUCCUUUAUAAAAACUACGUCUCUUGUAUAACCUCGCCUUUCUUUAUCAUUCCACCAGGUGCCGAAGCUUCGAAGCAAGGAAAUGAAGCGAGGUAACUCACUCCUGCCAAACCGGACACCAGUUCCGCGGGGUGUUCCGUGAGUCUGUGUUGUGUGAAAUCCCGCGCUCUCUCCAACGCUUCUUUGUAGUCAAGAUGAAGCUGGAUGGCGAAACCUCUCCCUAAGUUUGCUCUCAAGGCCCCGUCAGACCCCAAUCAACAGGUGGCUUCCAGGAUUGGAGAUCAGCGCAUCACUUCUGCAGGAGCGAGGGCGGCUUUCUCCUGGGUCCUGACGAGGUGACCCGGCCCGAGGUGACCCAGCUGACCCCCGGGAAC